rnacentral:rRNA from 1 species
AGAGUUUGAUCAUGGCUCAGAUUGAACGCUGGCGGCAUGCCUUACACAUGCAAGUCGAACGGUAACAGGUCUUCGGAUGCUGACGAGUGGCGAACGGGUGAGUAAUACAUCGGAACGUGCCCAGUCGUGGGGGAUAACGCAGCGAAAGCUGUGCUAAUACCGCAUACGAUCUAUGGAUGAAAGCGGGGGACCGUAAGGCCUCGCGCGAUUGGAGCGGCCGAUGUCAGAUUAGGUAGUUGGUGGGGUAAAGGCCCACCAAGCCAACGAUCUGUAGCUGGUCUGAGAGGACGACCAGCCACACUGGGACUGAGACACGGCCCAGACUCCUACGGGAGGCAGCAGUGGGGAAUAUUGGACAAUGGGCGAAAGCCUGAUCCAGCAAUGCCGCGUGCAGGAAGAAGGCCUUCGGGUUGUAAACUGCUUUUGUACGGAACGAAACGGUCUGGGUUAAUACCCUGGGCUAAUGACGGUACCGUAAGAAUAAGCACCGGCUAACUACGUGCCAGCAGCCGCGGUAAUA